GCUUCCUUAGCUCAGUGGUAGAGCGGACGAUUGCAGUUAUAGCUAUUAUCGUCAGGUCAGUCGUUCGAACCGGCUAGGGAGCU
rnacentral:tRNA from 1 species